rnacentral:rRNA from 14 species
UCUAGAUGCUGUGAACAUACCUGAUCUCCUAUGAUCUCUGAAGCUAACAGGCUGGGCUUGAUUAGAGUGUGGAUGGGAAACUACUUGGGAAUACCAGAGUGGAG